rnacentral:rRNA from 1 species
UACGUAGGGUGCAAGCGUUGUCCGGAAUUAUUGGGCGGAAAGAGCUCGUAGGUGGCCUGUCGCGUCGGCUGUGAAAACUCGGGGCUCAACUCCGAGCUUGCAGUCGAUACGGGCAGGCUAGAGUUCGGCAGGGGAGACUGGAAUUCCUGGUGUAGCGGUGAAAUGCGCAGAUAUCAGGAGGAACACCGGUGGCGAAGGCGGGUCUCUGGGCCGAUACUGACACUGAGGAGCGAAAGCGUGGGGAGCAAACAGG